GUGCAUGGCGGUGCUAUACAUGCAGUCGAGCGGACCUUUUAAAAGCUUGCUUUUGAAAGGUCAGCGGCGGACGGGUGAGUAACACGUGGGCAACCUGCCUGUAAGACUGGGAUAACUUCGGGAAACCGGAGCUAAUACCGGAUAAUAUAAGGAACCUCCUGGUUCUUUAUUGAAAGAUGGUUUCGGCUAUCACUUACAGAUGGGCCCGCGGCGCAUUAGCUAGUUGGUGAGGUAACGGCUCACCAAGGCGACGAUGCGUAGCCGACCUGAGAGGGUGAUCGGCCACACUGGGACUGAGACACGGCCCAGACUCCUACGGGAGGCAGCAGUAGGGAAUCUUCCACAAUGGACGAAAGUCUGAUGGAGCAACGCCGCGUGAGCGAUGAAGGCCUUCGGGUCGUAAAGCUCUGUUGUUAGGGAAGAACAAGUGCGAGAGUAACUGCUCGCACCUUGACGGUACCUAACCAGAAAGCCACGGCUAACUACGUGCCAGCAGCCGCGGUAAU
rnacentral:rRNA from 1 species